rnacentral:rRNA from 1 species
GACGAACGCUGGCGGCGUGCUUAACACAUGCAAGUCGAACGGAAGGGCCCUGCUUUUGUGGGGUGCUCGAGUGGCGAACGGGUGAGUAACACGUGAGUAACCUGCCCUUGACUUUGGGAUAACUUCAGGAAACUGGGGCUAAUACCGGAUAGGAGCUCCUGCUGCAUGGUGGGGGUUGGAAAGUUUCGGCGGUUGGGGAUGGACUCGCGGCUUAUCAGCUUGUUGGUGGGGUAGUGGCUUACCAAGGCUUUGACGGGUAGCCGGCCUGAGAGGGUGACCGGCCACAUUGGGACUGAGAUACGGCCCAGACUCCUACGGGAGGCAGCAGUGGGGAAUAUUUCACAAUGGGCGGAAGCCUGAUGCAGCAACGCCGCGUGCGGGAUGACGGCCUUCGGGUUGUAAACCGCUUUCGCCUGUGACGAAGCGUGAGUGACGGUAAUGGGUAAAGAAGCACCGGCUAACUACGUG